rnacentral:rRNA from 1 species
GCGAAGCUAUAUGUGGAGCGGUGAAAGGCUCAGUAACGGGCGAUUUAUUUAAUCUCCUGGGACGGACAACAUCGGGAAACUGAUGGGAAAACGUCUAAGUUGCAUUAAUUUUAGUGUGACGUAAACGGAUACGUGCAGGAGAGUAAGAUGCCAUCCUAUCAGUUAGUAAGUAGGGUAAGGGCCUACUUAGACGAAGACGGGUACGGGGAAUGAGGGUUUGAUUCCGGAGAGGGAGCCU